GUUGGCAAUUGGCAGUUGGCAGUAGGCAAUUGGCAGUUAGGAGUUGGUUGCAGGGAUGCCAACAGGAAUAAAAUAUUGGGGAGGCCCAGGUUAAAAAAAAAGAAAAGGUAAAGGACCCCUGGAUGGUUAAGUCCAGUCAAAGGUGACUAUGGGGUUGUGGUGCUCAUCUUUCAGGCCAAGGGAGCCGGCGUUUGUCCACAGACAGCUUUCUGGGUCAUGUGGCCAUGACUAAACUGCUUCUGGCACAACAGAACACUGUAACGGAAACCAGAGCGCACGGAAAUGCUGUUUACCUUCCCGCCACAACGGUGCCUAAUUAUCUACUUGCACUUUGACGUGCUUUCGAACUGCUAGGUUGGCAGGAGUUGGGACAGAGCAACAGGAGCUCACCCCAUCCCAUGGAUUCGAACCGCCGACCUUCCGAUUGGCAAUCCCAAGAAGCUCAGCGCCAUCCACAUCCCCUCUGUAGGGCCAGGUAAGACCCACCCUACAUAAUUGAUCACAUGACACAGUGCACACACACACCAUUUAAAUAGCAAUCCCCACCAACUUUGGGGAGCCCAGCCCCCUCAGAUAUUUUAUUGGGGGGCUGAAGUCCUCUCAGCCCCCAAGAGUUGGCUCCUGUGGUUGGCUGGCUAUAUUCUGUGCAUUCUGCCUUGACUGUUAAUGUGAGAGGUGUGGGGACUUCCUGCAGGUGCUGUCUGGAGGAGUUUGUAAAUAACACCUGUUGCCAGCCUGACAAGUAAACAGAAAACUAUUUCUGUAAGGCAUAUAUGUUUGUCAGGUUUAGCGCUUCUUCCAAACAAGACACGGAACGCUGGCAGUUUAAGUAGCUGAGGUUUAUUUCUCAAUAACAGACUUACAGCAAGCUUCCACAACUCAUCCUUUGCCGCCAGUCAGUUGACUCAACUGGCUUCUGACCCUUCCCAAGGCUAGAUAUAUGCCACAUCUUCCCCCACCUCUGCUCUAAUCACUUGCUCCGUGUGGCGUUUGCCUCCUAGGUGGGUCAUAAGGAAAAGGUUAAAAUGAGAGUGAUGUGAUUGGCCAGUGGAAACUGAUAGGAGGAGUUAGGGUUAGAGGGGCAGUUGUGUGAGAGUCAGUUGAGAGUUGGGAGUUGGAGGAGGAGGAGGAGGGAGGAAUAGUCUGUGGGUUGGUCGAGUUGUGUGAUGAGAGAGUGAGAGGAAUGGUUAGAUGGAGUCAGAUAGAUAGAUAGUUGGGAUAAGCAGUUUGAAGUUGUUCGGAACAAAUAAGACAGUUAAGGAACUAAGAUUAAGAAACUGCCAAGAAAAAUUAACUGAAACCAUAAGCUUGUUCAUACCUAUAAAAAACUUGAUUAUUUGUUAAUGUUACCAACUGACUGGACUCCGUGUGUACCCGUGAGAAACGGGUUGGUGGCAGCGAAGAACGCAAUUACAGUGGUGGCACAGGGUCAAUAGACCGUCAAACGUCCGGGGGCCCUGUGUGAUCACCUCCUACUUCUUGGAGACUCAGGUGCAGAUGUCACGGUCCGGUUCACGGGCGAUCAAAGUCCCGACAGGGGACGUCAGGACUAGGGGCAAGAUGGCGGGGUGGGAGCAGGAAUGGGGGUCCAGAAGCCAGGAGUCAGGAAGUCAAGGGUCUGAGGAUCAAGAAGCAAGGAGUCACGAAGCCGAGGUUCAAGGAUCAGGAAGCAAGAAGCCAAAUGCAGCAAGGCAGGAAACAAGUUGCUGUGGCAAAGAACCGAAGGGAAAUGCUGACCUUAUAUCCCUUCCCAGCUCUUGCCACCAGGUGCUGUGAGUUACCAAUCGGCCUCACCUGUGAGGCUGCGCCUUGCCUCUCCAGAACAAACUUAGGAAGGCCCCAGUCCUGCAAAGUCCUAUUGGUCACAGGGCCUGGUUCCUGCACGCACACCUGACAGCAGCCAAUUUCUCCUCCUCUGGAGAUGGAGACUCAGGUGCAGCCAAUUCCUCUUCCUCUGGAGAUUCCUCUCUGCUGGACGUGUCCCUGACAAGGUUCCUCACAAAUAGCUAACAAUACCUUCCUACAGAUAAGGAAGUUAGAUUGGCUUCAACCAGAGCCAGGGCCUUUUCAACUCUGGCUCCGGCCUGGUGGAACGCCCUGCCUCAUGAGACCAGGACCCUGCAGGAUCUGAUUUCUUUCCACAGGGCCUAUAAGACAGAGUUGUUCCGCCUGGCCUUUGGCUUGGAGCCAAUUUGAUUCCCUCCCUCCCUCCCUCUCU